rnacentral:rRNA from 1 species
ACGAAGGGUGCAAGCGUUACUCGGAAUUACUGGGCGUAAAGCGUGCGUAGGUGGUUUGUUAAGUCUGCUGUGAAAGCCCCGGGCUCAACCUGGGAAUGGCAGUGGAUACUGGCAAGCUAGAGUGCGGUAGAGGGGUGUGGAAUUCCCGGUGUAGCGGUGAAAUGCGUAGAGAUCGGGAGGAACAUCAGUGGCGAAGGCGGCCAUCUGGGACAACACUGACGCUGAAGCACGAAAGCGUGGGGAGCAAACAGGA